rnacentral:lncRNA from 1 species
UUUCUUGGUGCCUUGGACAUCUUGGUAGACAGAAACGCACAGUGCUUAGUUCUUCUAAGUACACGUUUAUGCUUUCUUACUUCCAUCUGGUGCAUUUCUGUAGUUCACCCAUGGGAAAGUAAACAUGGACACAAAUGCACUUUGGAACAUUGCAUGAACUAUCUUGAUGUGCCGUAGUUAUGGAGUCUUUGCAUGUGCUGUUCUGACCAAAGUAGUUUUUCAUCAUUGUGCUGAGCAAGUUCUUGUUUGAUUGCACUAUUGGGUCUCUUGUAGCAGUCUUGUUACGUCCUAUCUUGCCAUCACUUUGUUUGUUUCCGAAGAAGCUUCCUUUCCACUGUAUACAUCAUAGUGUUACUUAGAUUCUGCCUUCUGCAUUUUC